UUUUAUUUAUUUUUGGCAAUAUAUUUUUAUUGCAUUAUAACACGUUAGAAACACAUGAAUUAAAUUGUUAGCGGACUCUCCGUUUGGCAGACAUGUGGAAUGUGGGUAUUUACACACCCUUUAACGAAUCUUCUCACUACACGUGUACCCAUGGGUCAUGUGACCAACCAGCAGCCGGGGCGGGUCAUGUGACCAGGCUCCGGUACUCAGGCGCGUGCCGCCGGUGUACCACGUGACCAGGCUCAGGCGUGCUGUCAGAUUUUCCCUACACCGUGCACGCACUCACACACAGCUUGCCAUCCUGGCUCGGCUCUGACCCGCCAACGGUUUGUGAACUACACUUCCCGGCAUACACCGCGUGACAUCACUUCCUGUUACCCGAAGGCGGCUUUAGGGGCGGAGCCGGAAGUUGUCUGGGACCUGUCUGUAUAUAACUAUCAGCAAAGCAUCUAAUGUAUGUAUUAUACCAUCUAUAUUAUAUACAGUGUGUGUAUUAUACCAUCUAUAUUAUAUACAGUGUGUGUUAUACCAUCUAUAUUAUAUACAGUGUGUGUUAUACCAUCUAUAUUAUAUACAGUGUGUAUUAUACCAUCUAUAUUAUAUACAGUGUGUGUUAUACCAUCUAUAUUAUAUACAGUGUGUGUAUUAUACCAUCUAUAUUAUAUACAGUGUGUGUUAUACCAUCUAUAUUAUAUACAGUGUGUAUUAUACCAUCUAUAUUAUAUACAGUGUGUGUUAUACCAUCUAUAUUAUAUAUACAGUGUGUAUUAUACCAUCUAUAUUAUAUAUACAGUGUGUAUUAUACCAUCUAUAUUAUAUAUACAGUGUGUGUAUUAUACCAUCUAUAUUCUAUACAGUGUGUGUAUUAUACCAUCUAUAUUAUAUACAGUGUGUGUAUUAUACCAUCUAUAUUAUAUACAGUGUGUGUUAUACCAUCUAUAUUAUAUACAGUGUGUGUUAUACCAUCUAUAUUAUAUACAGUGUGUGUAUUAUACCAUCUAUAUUAUAUACAGUGUGUAUUAUACCAUCUAUAUUAUAUACAGUGUGUGUAUUAUACCAUCUAUAUUAUAUACAGUGUGUAAUAUACCAUCUAUAUUAUAUACAGUGUGUGUAUUAUACCAUCUAUAUUAUAUACAGUGUGUAAUAUACCAUCUAUAUUAUAUAUACAGUGUGUGUAUUAUACCAUCUAUAUUAUAUAUACAGUGUGUAUUAUACCAUCUAUAUUAUAUACAGUGUGUGUAUUAUACCAUCUAUAUUAUAUACAGUGUGUGUAUUAUACCAUCUAUAUUAUAUACAGUGUGUGUUAUACCAUCUAUAUUAUAUACAGUGUGUGUUAUACCAUCUAUAUUAUAUACAGUGUGUAUUAUACCAUCUAUAUUAUAUACAGUGUGUGUUAUACCAUCUAUAUUAUAUACAGUGUGUAUUAUACCAUCUAUAUUAUAUACAGUGUGUGUUAUACCAUCUAUAUUAUAUAUACAGUGUGUAUUAUACCAUCUAUAUUAUAUAUACAGUGUGUAUUAUACCAUCUAUAUUAUAUAUACAGUGUGUGUAUUAUACCAUCUAUAUUCUAUACAGUGUGUGUAUUAUACCAUCUAUAUUAUAUACAGUGUGUGUAUUAUACCAUCUAUAUUAUAUACAGUGUGUGUUAUACCAUCUAUAUUAUAUACAGUGUGUGUUAUACCAUCUAUAUUAUAUACAGUGUGUGUAUUAUACCAUCUAUAUUAUAUACAGUGUGUAUUAUACCAUCUAUAUUAUAUACAGUGUGUGUAUUAUACCAUCUAUAUUAUAUACAGUGUGUAAUAUACCAUCUAUAUUAUAUACAGUGUGUGUAUUAUACCAUCUAUAUUAUAUACAGUGUGUAAUAUACCAUCUAUAUUAUAUAUACAGUGUGUGUAUUAUACCAUCUAUAUUAUAUAUACAGUGUGUAUUAUACCAUCUAUAUUAUAUACAGUGUGUGUAUUAUACCAUCUAUAUUAUAUACAGUGUGUAAUAUACCAUCUAUAUUAUAUAUACAGUGUGUGUAUUAUACCAUCUAUAUUAUAUAUACAGUGUGUAUUAUACCAUCUAUAUUAUAUAUACAGUGUGUAUUAUAACAUCUAUAUUAUAUACAGUGUGUAUUAUACCAUCUAUAUUAUAUACAGUGUGUAUUAUACCAUCUAUAUUAUAUAUACAGUGUGUGUAUUAUAUCAUCUAUAUUAUAUACAGUGUGUAUUAUAUCAUCUAUAUUAUAUACAGUGUGUAUUAUACCAUCUAUAUUCUAUAUACAGUGUGUGUAUUAUAUCAUCUAUAUUAUAUACAGUGUGUGUAUUAUAUCAUCUAUAUUAUAUACAGUGUGUAUUAUACCAUCUAUAUUAUAUACAGUGUGUGUAUUAUAACAUCUAUAUUAUAUAUACAGUGUGUGUAUUAUAACAUCUAUAUUAUAUAUACAGUGUGUAUUAUACCAUCUAUAUUAUAUACAGUGUGUGUAUUAUACCAUCUAUAUUAUAUACAGUGUGUGUAUAACAUCUAUAUUAUAUAUACAGUGUGUGUAUUAUACCAUCUAUAUUAUAUAUACAGUGUGUGCAUUAUACCAUCUAUAUUAUAUACAGUGUGUGUAUUAUAACAUCUAUAUUAUAUAUACAGUGUGUGUAUUAUAACAUCUAUAUUAUAUAUACAGUGUGUGUAUUAUACCAUCUAUAUUAUAUACAGUGUGUAUUAUACCAUCUAUAUUAUAUAUACAGUGUGUAUUAUAACAUCUAUAUUAUAUAUACAGUGUGUGUAUUAUACCAUCUAUAUUAUAUAUACAGUGUGUAUUAUAACAUCUAUAUUAUAUACAGUGUGUAUUAUACCAUCUAUAUUAUAUACAGUGUGUAUAUUAUACCAUCUAUAUUAUAUACAGUGUGUAUUAUACCAUCUAUAUUAUAUACAGUGUGUGUUAUACCAUCUAUAUUAUAUAUACAGUGUGUAUUAUAACAUCUAUAUUAUAUACAGUGUGUAUUAUACCAUCUAUAUUAUAUACAGUGUGUGUUAUACCAUCUAUAUUAUAUACAGUGUGUGUUAUACCAUCUAUAUUAUAUACAGUGUGUAUUAUACCAUCUAUAUUAUAUACAGUGUGUGUUAUACCAUCUAUAUUAUAUACAGUGUGUAUAUUAUACCAUCUAUAUUAUAUAUACAGUGUGUAUUAUACCAUCUAUAUUAUAUACAGUGUGUGUUAUACCAUCUAUAUUAUAUACAGUGUGUGUAUUAUACCAUCUAUAUUAUAUAUACAGUGUGUAUUAUAACAUCUAUAUUAUACACAGUGUGUAUAUUAUACCAUCUAUAUUAUAUACAGUGUGUAUUAUACCAUCUAUAUUAUAUACAGUGUGUGUAUUAUACCAUCUAUAUUAUAUACAGUGUGUUAUACCAUCUAUAUUAUAUAUACAGUGUGUGUUAUACCAUCUAUAUUCUAUAUGCAGUGUGUGUUAUACCAUCUAUAUUAUAUACAGUGUGUAUUAUACCAUCUAUAUUCUAUACAGUGUGUUAUACCAUCUAUAUUAUAUACAGUGUGUGUUAUAUCAUCUAUAUUCUAUAUGCAGUGUGUGUUAUACCAUCUAUAUUAUAUACAGUGUGUGUUAUACCAUCUAUAUUCUAUAUACAAUGCGUGUUAUAUCGUCUAUAUUCUAUAUACAGUGUGUGUUAUACCAGGACAUGCUAUAUACAGUGUGCAUUAUACCUUGGCCACCAAACAUACUGCGUGUCUAAUAUACCAGGAGUUUGUAACAUACCAUUAUAACUAUGUACACGUCACGUGUUUUGUUCUGCGGGCAUUUUACACAUAACAUGUUUUUUUUCUGAGGCAUAUAACACGCAGCAUUCAUGCGUUACACCAACGAUGCGUAACGAACAUACAAGGGCUGUUCACUUAACAAUAAAAUUGUACUAGUUUGAAGCCAUAAUUGUGAAAUGAAGUCUCAAAUAGCUGUUUUGUGCAUAUAGUCCAGAUGAGGACUUUUUCAAGCUAUUUUACCUGUAUUUUGCAAUUUGGGCUUCAGUCAGGUAUAUUUGUAAUUUACUGAAUAACAGUGUAUGCUUUAAACAAAGCAUGUGUAACGUGUGCAUUAUACCAGGGGUGUGUAACAUGUAGCAUGUGAUUUUAUAAAAUAUAUUUUUAAACAUUAUAAUUAAUAUGUGCAACUUAUGCAACAAAUUACAUUGCUCAUAACAUUCUGGCGAUUGCAUCGUUCCUAUUCUCGUAGCUAUGCUAUAAUUUUGCGAGUGAUCUGUAACAUUGUAUGUGGCUAGGUUUAAUCAUUGCAUUUGGCUUUUUUUACGUGCUGUGUGAUUGGUAAACCCCUUGCCACUUUGUGUUGGGUGAUCAUUAGCACUGCUUGCAGUUUUCUUAUGGUUGUUUUUCAUUUUUGGAUCAUUGAAAUUGCUUAUGUUGGUGGGUCACAUUUUUGUUAUGGAAUCUGUGAUUUGGAGUGUGAUUAAACUGCUUGUAGUUUUGUGGUGGUUCUGGGCGUGAUUGGUAAAACUGCUUAAUGGCGAUUUAGUUCAUGGACAGCAACACUGCUUCCAGCUUCCAUUUGAUGAGUUGUGUUUUGCUGACUGUUAUUGAUUGUGUUACAGUGACAUUUUCUUCAUUACUCUUCCUACAGAGACGGACUCUAACAGAUAUGACCAAGCUGGUUGAAUGGCUCCUGGGGCUGACUCUCCUUGGAGUAGUGUGGGCCACUCUGACGUUUGACCUCUUAGGCCUGGAGAUUCCCGAGCCAUGCUGGCAAGUUAUCUGGCCCUUUCCGGUCUACCUUCUGGUAACAUUCGGUUGUUACUCCUUAGCCACAGUUGGAUAUAGAGUGGCUACUUUUAAUGACUGUGAAAGUGCUGCGCAGGAGCUACAGCGGCAGAUUAAGGAGGCAAAGAGGGACUUGACCACCAAGGGCUUCAGUUUUUGACCAGUACAUGAUGCCUGGUUACUGGAACCAAUUCAAUAAGGACACUGUGAUCUUUCAAGGGUUAAUCAGGGGUGCUCACUGUGACUGGAUUCCUCAUUUGUAUUAUCCCAGAUGAUUGUACUACUUGUUUGGAAUGGAGCUCAUCUGAACAGUGGAUUUUUUCAGGACCAAACAGUUAAUGAAGAUUAGAUAAUACUGUUUGCUGUGUCUUUCUUUUUUGGGGGGUUGGGAGGUUCUUGGUGAGAAGGUAAAUGGAAUGCCUUUCUCAGAGCGAGGAUAAAUACUGUCAAUCAUUGCUGGGAAAUGUGUCAGUCAUCAUUCUGUAUCCCUCUUAAACAUGGUGUGCAGACCCUAGCAGCUAUAGAUAGGGCUGCUCUCGGAGAAUACGAGAAAGUGAAACAAAGACAAAAGAUGAUCUUAGAAGCUUGCAAUCUAGAUUGGGGAAGUGAAUAAAUAAAACACAUGGUAUAGAGUGAGGCUCUGCUAAAAGCUAACAAUCUAGAGGGGAUAGAGAACAAAUGGCACAUUUGUGAUGUUAUUUAAUAAUGUAAAAAGUGGUGGGAAUUCAAAGUAAUUUUUGAAUUUAAUGUCAUAAUAGCUGAGCUUGUGCUUCCAGUUUGAAUUUUCUGGCCUUAUAAUUUUAAUUUCACUUUGAAUUUCUGAAACUUGUUGAAUAGUGAAUAAAUCUGAUGGUGUAGACAGCCCCAGUAUCAGGAAGUAUUACUUUACUGAGAGGGUAGUGGAUGCAUGGAAUAGCCUUCAAGCUGAAGUGGUAGAGGUUAACACAGUAAAGGAGUUUAAGCAUGCGUGUGAUAGGCAUAAGGCUAUCCUAUCUAUAAAAUAAGGCCAGGGAUUAAUGAAAGUAUUUAGAAAAUUGGGCAGACUAGAUGGGCCGAUUGGUUCUUAUCUGCCGUCACAUUCUAUGUUUUUAUGUUUCUGCUCAAAGCUUUAAAUCUAAAAGGAACGAGGGGUAAUUUAAACACUAACAAUGGUUCUCACUAAAGUCUGAAUGUCUGUGGUGCGGAUUAGCAACAAAAUAAUCCAGGAUUGCAAACUCCAGACAUUGUUCCCAAAAUUUUGCAAUGUACGAAGUUUUCAAUACUGCCUCCCUAUUACUUAGAAACAUAUAACAGAAGAGUCGCUGGAAUCUGAAAACGGAAUUAUGGAAAUACACCAUGGAAUGUGCAGAUUAAACAGAAUUGCAAAUUCAGUUCAAAUGAAGUUACACAAAUUUGUAGAUAGAUAAUGGCCAAUUCUAUUACAAGCUAUCAUUUAAAAAGCCGGCAAUUAGCCCCAUUUUGAUGACAAAAUUUAAAAAAUUACUUUGUGGACAGGUUUAGUCCAAUUAUAAAACAUAUAUAUUACUUUUAUUAACUCGGCUGCGUUACCAAAAAUAAACUUGUGCUCUUUUUUUUUUUUUUGUAAGUUUUUAUUUUGGAAGUACAAUGACUGAAGAACAUGCAGGUUGAGACAUGUGACCAUGAGACAAUUAUAAACACGAAGUUUGUUACGUGUGUUGAAAUAAAUGCACAUUUUUAUAAUGUUAAAAUAGUCAAGCGAUAACAUUGCAACUGGGCCCAUGCUAUAAUUGUUAAUGAGAAAACUGAGACACUGGCCCUGAUAUAUAUCCACAAGCUAAAUCCAAUAUAGACAGCGUCAAAAACGAGGUGAGCUAAAGGUAAAACAACUUCAAUUUUUGUUAAGCAACAGAGCCAAGUUUCUGACCAGGCAUAAGGCUACCGUGACUUAUUAAAGGGGUCCUAUAGUGCCAGGAAAACAAACCCGUUUUCCAGGCACUAUAGGCUCUUGGAGAGCCCCACUCCCUCGGCGCUGAAGGGGUUAAAACUUACCUUACCUUAAUCCAACCCCGGGCUCCCUCGGCGCUGGUGGCCUCUCCUCCCCCGCAGACUUCAGCUCCCAAGUGGAGCCGUAUGCGCAUGAGCGACCAGAGGCGCGAGCAUUCAAACUCGCCCAUAGGAAAGCAUUACUCAAUGCUUUUCUAUGGGGAUCUUAUUUGACGCUGCACUCCGUGAGGAUGUCCAGCAUCAGAUAAGUGCGAUUUUGUAAAUCGCGGAAGCUCCUCUAUUGGCUGUCAGGGAUACAGCCACUGGAGGCUGGAUUAACCCUGCAAUGUACACAGCAGUGUCUCUGAAACUGCUAUGUUUUCAGCUGAAGGGUUAAAACCAGGAGGACCUGGCACCCAGACCACUUCAUUGAGCUGAAGAGGUCUGGGUGCUUAUAGUGGUCCUUUAAGUAACUCAGACUUGAGAGAAGCAGGUAUCAAGCGGUCAGCCAUUUACUCAGCUAGUCCACAUUUGGAAGAUUGCUCCAAGCCCACUUAGGAAAACGUAAGUAUCGUUGCCUCUGCACCAUACCGUCAAGGCAGGAUGCCU